ensembl:snoRNA
AUCCUUUUAUGACUCAUCAUUGUGAUGAUUGAGUUUACACACCACUGGGCGCGAUGUGCCUCGCUCAAACUUUGUUACAAUGUUGGCACAUUACUCAACCAAUG